ACAGUGGACGCGAGCAUCUGUGGCCAAGUUUUUAAGGGCGCACGGUGGAUGCCUUGGCACCAGGAACCGAUGAAGGACGUGGGAGGCCACGAUAGUCCCCGGGGAGCUGUCAACCAAGCUUUGAUCCGGGGGUUUCCGAAUGGGGAAACCCGGCAGUCGUCAUGGGCUGUCACCCGCUGCUGAACACAUAGGCAGUGUGGAGGGAACGAGGGGAAGUGAAACAUCUCAGUACCCUCAGGAAGAGAAAACAACCGUGAUUCCGGGAGUAGUGGCGAGCGAAACUGGAUGAGGCCAAACCGUAUGCGUGUGAUACCCGGCAGGGGUUGCGCAUUCGGGGUUGUGGGAUCUCUUUUUCAUAGUCUGCCGGCUGUGAGACGAGUCAGAAACCGUUGAUGUAGGCGAAGGACAUGCGAAAGGUCCGGCGUAGAGGGUAAGACCCCCGUAGCUGAAACAUCAACGGCUCGUUUAAGAGACACCCAAGUAGCACGGGGCCCGAGAAAUCCCGUGUGAAUCUGGCGGGACCACCCGCUAAGCCUAAAUAUUCCCUGGUGACCGAUAGCGGAUAGUACCGUGAGGGAAUGGUGAAAAGUACCGCGGGAGCGGAGUGAAAUAGUACCUGAAACCGUGUGCCUACAAGCCGUGGGAGCGUCGCUGUAUGUGCUUGCACAUGCAGUCGUGACUGCGUGCCUUUUGAAGAAUGAGCCUGCGAGUUAGCGGUGUGUAGCGAGGUUAACCCGUGUGGGGAAGCCGUAGCGAAAGCGAGUCCGAAUAGGGCGAUUGAGUUGCACGCUCUAGACCCGAAGCGGAGUGAUCUAGCCAUGGGCAGGUUGAAGCGGAGGUAAGACUUCGUGGAGGACCGAACCCACCAGGGUUGAAAACCUGGGGGAUGACCUGUGGUUAGGGGUGAAAGGCCAAUCAAACUCCGUGAUAGCUGGUUCUCCCCGAAAUGCAUUUAGGUGCAGCGUCGUGUGUUUCUUGCCGGAGGUAGAGCACUGGAUAGGCGAUGGGCCCUACCGGGUUACUGACCUUAGCCAAACUCCGAAUGCCGGUAAGUGAGAGCACGGCAGUGAGACUGUGGGGGAUAAGCUCCAUGGUCGAGAGGGAAACAGCCCAGAGCAUCGACUAAGGCCCCUAAGCGUACGCUAAGUGGGAAAGGAUGUGGAGUCGCAGAGACAACCAGGAGGUUGGCUUAGAAGCAGCCACCCUUGAAAGAGUGCGUAAUAGCUCACUGGUCAAGUGAUUCCGCGCCGACAAUGUAGCGGGGCUCAAGCGUACCGCCGAAGUCGUGUCAUUC
rnacentral:rRNA from 1 species